GUGGGGAAUAUUGGACAAUGGGCGAAAGCCUGAUCCAGCCAUGCCGCGUGUGUGAAGAAGGUCUUCGGAUUGUAAAGCACUUUAAGUUGGGAGGAAGGGCAGUAAGUUAAUACCUUGCUGUUUUGACGUUACCGACAGAAUAAGCACCGGCUAACUUCGUGCCAGCAGCCGCGGUAAUACGAAGGGUGCAAGCGUUAAUCGGAAUUACUGGGCGUAAAGCGCGCGUAGGUGGUUCGUUAAGUUGGAUGUGAAAGCCCCGGGCUCAACCUGGGAACUGCAUCCAAAACUGGCGAGCUAGAGUACGGUAGAGGGUGGUGGAAUUUCCUGUGUAGCGGUGAAAUGCGUAGAUAUAGGAAGGAACACCAGUGGCGAAGGCGACUACCUGGACUGAUACUGACACUGAGGUGCGAAAGCGUGGGGAGCAAACAGGAUUAGAAACCCUAGUAGUCC
rnacentral:rRNA from 1 species